UUCUUUAUUUUCCUCUUCUCACGCCGUUCCUUCUUCCUCCCCGCGCGCCCCUGCCAAAAUCGCCUGGCGACGAUUCCAUCUUCUCCCCUCUCUGUGUUGCCGCCGGCCAUUACAGAUUUCUAUUACAAGAGCCGCCUCCUCUCUUCCCGAUUCUCUCCAGCCCUCUUUCAUCCUUCUCCCUCACGAUCUCGCCAGAAGCCGAGCACCUCCCCUCUACCUAGCGCCGGAGCCCUAUCUCUCGAUCCGCCACCGACCGAUUUCCAUCUUGGUCGCAGCACCUUGACGCCACACGCCUUCGAUUAGGACUGGUGCUAGAUAUUCCUUCCUGUUCAUCGGCCACGAGGAAGACCUAGAUUCGAAGCACUUGUUCGCCGGCCACGAGGAAGACACAGAUCCGAAGCAGAAAGCUUCCCUUCCUCAUAGUUGGGCUGGGGAUCCUCUUCUAACCACCACAGUAGCGAUCGGAUUUGGCUUUGACUAGGAAUGAUCUUGGAGUGAGGAGGGUCUUCCAGCAGCCGCCCAUUUUCCGACAGCCAUCUUCUAGUGGCGAACAGCCCUAUUGAGCAGUACUGUGUUGGGUGGAAUGGUUAUUGAGAAUUGUGGUCUUUGGUUGUAGAGUCCUGGUUUCCAACAACGGCUCCGUUCUUGUUCCGGCAGCCAACGUUUUUGAUUUUGGGUCACGGUAGUAGUUUGGUGAAAAGAAGUGAAGUAUCCAGCAAGGAGGUUGGGCUAGGUGGAGGGUCUUGGUUCUGGCAGCUAUUUCAUCUGUAGCCAUCUUGUUGUCAGUAUCAAUACUCCCUGCUGUGGAUCAACAAUCACAGCCGUUGAUUAAGGACUUUGAUUCGAGACGGUGUCUCGACGAGGAUUUAUUCGGAUACGAUCUUCUUAUCGGAGGUGGGUACCUUGACUUAUCUUUUUGAUAUGUCAUGUUGAUAUGUCUAGUAGGUUAUAGCCUUUAGUAAUAAUUAUGUUCGUCCUUGUUUCGGUACGUCACUAUCGGAUACCUGUUACAUGCUUGUUUGCUCACCUGAUAUGCAUUUUAUGCUAGUACCCACAUGAUUAGAUAUAUAUAUACUCAGAGAGGUAGUAACAUACCAUGCUUGUUAUGUUAAGGACCUAGGUUUUUGAUAUCCUAUCUGACCUGUGUACUUUAGAUCUUCGCAUUUGACCAUCGAUAUUACGGUACUCAUUAUAUAUAUAUGGAUAUGGUUA